rnacentral:misc_RNA from 1 species
GUGACUUACAUUUGGGAAACCCCAGAUUUUUGCCAGGAGACAUGUUUAUUUGAAAACAGUGCCAGACUACUAGAUUCUACGCAUUUUGUAUUAUGUAUAAGGUCGAUGAUCAACAGCAUCAUUGUCGGUUCAACAGGCUUUUAACACGUGCUCAGAGGUCAUUCAUCACACACUUGUGUUUAAAAUGGAAAAAUACCUGUAAGGAAAAGACACGUUCUAAAACGCAGUCCCAUCAAAUUGAAAACCUUACAACGGGACGAUGGAUGAAGAACGGAUAUGGGAACAGAAACACUUCAAAAAUAAAUUUAUAAUGUUGAACCUCCAGUCAAAAGAGACAUGGACUGUGGAAGACUGGGUGAAAGUAGAUAGACUUUUGAGAUCGACUAAAGGAGACUUAUUGCAG